rnacentral:rRNA from 1 species
AACGAACGCUGGCGGCAGGCCUAACACAUGCAAGUCGAGCGCGCCCUUCGGGGUGAGCGGCGGACGGGUGAGUAACGCGUGGGAACGUGCCCUUUUCUACGGAAUAGCCUCGGGAAACUGAGAGUAAUACCGUAUACGCCCUUUGGGGGAAAGAUUUAUCGGAAAAGGAUCGGCCCGCGUUGGAUUAGGUAGUUGGUGGGGUAAUGGCCUACCAAGCCGACGAUCCAUAGCUGGUUUGAGAGGAUGAUCAGCCACACUGGGACUGAGACACGGCCCAGACUCCUACGGGAGGGAGCAGUGGGGAAUCUUAGACAAUGGGGGCAACCCUGAUCUAGCCAUGCCGCGUGAGUGAUGAAGGCCUUAGGGUUGUAAAGCUCUUUCAGCUGGGAAGAUAAUGACGGUACCAGCAGAAGAAGCCCCGGCUAACUCCGUG